UGUUAAGAUAUGACUUGCUCCUCCUUGUCUUCCGCCAUUAUUGUGAGGCCUCCCCAGCCAUGUGAAACUGAGGAAGAGGCAGAGCAAGACGGCUCAAUAGAAGCCUCCAUUAAUUGUCCUCCCCACUGGAAUACCAAAUUGAACAACUACCCACACAAAGAAGCACCUUCAUGAGAACCAAAAAUCAGGUGCCAGACAGAAAGUCAUCUCUCUGCUCACCUGAGACAAAUGCAGAUUCAUUGAGCCAGACUAAGGCAUAAGUGACUAUUCUUCUAUGUUCUCCAACAUGUAAAUUGUGUAUUCAG